UUAAGCGACUAAGCGUACACGGUGGAUGCCCUGGCAGUCAGAGGCGAUGAAGGACGUGCUAAUCUGCGAUAAGCGUCGGUAAGGUGAUAUGAACCGUUAUAACCGGCGAUUUCCGAAUGGGGAAACCCAGUGUGAUUCGUCACACUAUCAUUAACUGAAUCCAUAGGUUAAUGAGGCGAACCGGGGGAACUGAAACAUCUAAGUACCCCGAGGAAAAGAAAUCAACCGAGAUUCCCCCAGUAGCGGCGAGCGAACGGGGAGCAGCCCAGAGCCUGAAUCAGUGUGUGUGUUAGUGGAAGCGUCUGGAAAGGCGUGCGAUACAGGGUGACAGCCCCGUACACAAAAAUGCACAUAUUGUGAGCUCGAUGAGUAGGGCGGGACACGUGGUAUCCUGUCUGAAUAUGGGGGGACCAUCCUCCAAGGCUAAAUACUCCUGACUGACCGAUAGUGAACCAGUACCGUGAGGGAAAGGCGAAAAGAACCCCGGCGAGGGGAGUGAAAAAGAACCUGAAACCGUGUACGUACAAGCAGUGGGAGCACAGAGCAAUCUGUGUGACUGCGUACCUUUUGUAUAAUGGGUCAGCGACUUAUAUUCUGUAGCAAGGUUAACCGAAUAGGGGAGCCGAAGGGAAACCGAGUCUUAACUGGGCGUUAAGUUGCAGGGUAUAGACCCGAAACCCGGUGAUCUAGCCAUGGGCAGGUUGAAGGUUGGGUAACACUAACUGGAGGACCGAACCGACUAAUGUUGAAAAAUUAGCGGAUGACUUGUGGCUGGGGGUGAAAGGCCAAUCAAACCGGGAGAUAGCUGGUUCUCCCCGAAAGCUAUUUAGGUAGCGCCUCGUGAAUUCAUCUCCGGGGGUAGAGCACUGUUUCGGCAAGGGGGUCAUCCCGACUUACCAACCCGAUGCAAACUGCGAAUACCGGAGAAUGUUAUCACGGGAGACACACGGCGGGUGCUAACGUCCGUCGUGAAGAGGGAAACAACCCAGACCGCCAGCUAAGGUCCCAAAGUCAUGGUUAAGUGGGAAACGAUGUGGGAAGGCCCAGACAGCCAGGAUGUUGGCUUAGAAGCAGCCAUCAUUUAAAGAAAGCGUAAUAGCUCACUGGUCGAGUCGGCCUGCGCGGAAGAUGUAACGGGGCUAAACCAUGCACCGAAGCUGCGGCAGCGACGCUUAUGCGUUGUUGGGUAGGGGAGCGUUCUGUAAGCCUGUGAAGGUGUGCUGUGAGGCAUGCUGGAGGUAUCAGAAGUGCGAAUGCUGACAUAAGUAACGAUAAAGCGGGUGAAAAGCCCGCUCGCCGGAAGACCAAGGGUUCCUGUCCAACGUUAAUCGGGGCAGGGUGAGUCGACCCCUAAGGCGAGGCCGAAAGGCGUAGUCGAUGGGAAACAGGUUAAUAUUCCUGUACUUGGUGUUACUGCGAAGGGGGGACGGAGAAGGCUAUGUUGGCCGGGCGACGGUUGUCCCGGUUUAAGCGUGUAGGCUGGUUUUCCAGGCAAAUCCGGAAAAUCAAGGCUGAGGCGUGAUGACGAGGCACUACGGUGCUGAAGCAACAAAUGCCCUGCUUCCAGGAAAAGCCUCUAAGCAUCAGGUAACAUCAAAUCGUACCCCAAACCGACACAGGUGGUCAGGUAGAGAAUACCAAGGCGCUUGAGAGAACUCGGGUGAAGGAACUAGGCAAAAUGGUGCCGUAACUUCGGGAGAAGGCACGCUGAUAUGUAGGUGAAGUCCCUCGCGGAUGGAGCUGAAAUCAGUCGAAGAUACCAGCUGGCUGCAACUGUUUAUUAAAAACACAGCACUGUGCAAACACGAAAGUGGACGUAUACGGUGUGACGCCUGCCCGGUGCCGGAAGGUUAAUUGAUGGGGUUAGCGCAAGCGAAGCUCUUGAUCGAAGCCCCGGUAAACGGCGGCCGUAACUAUAACGGUCCUAAGGUAGCGAAAUUCCUUGUCGGGUAAGUUCCGACCUGCACGAAUGGCGUAAUGAUGGCCAGGCUGUCUCCACCCGAGACUCAGUGAAAUUGAACUCGCUGUGAAGAUGCAGUGUACCCGCGGCAAGACGGAAAGACCCCGUGAACCUUUACUAUAGCUUGACACUGAACAUUGAGCCUUGAUGUGUAGGAUAGGUGGGAGGCUUUGAAGUGUGGACGCCAGUCUGCAUGGAGCCGACCUUGAAAUACCACCCUUUAAUGUUUGAUGUUCUAACGUUGACCCGUAAUCCGGGUUGCGGACAGUGUCUGGUGGGUAGUUUGACUGGGGCGGUCUCCUCCUAAAGAGUAACGGAGGAGCACGAAGGUUGGCUAAUCCUGGUCGGACAUCAGGAGGUUAGUGCAAUGGCAUAAGCCAGCUUGACUGCGAGCGUGACGGCGCGAGCAGGUGCGAAAGCAGGUCAUAGUGAUCCGGUGGUUCUGAAUGGAAGGGCCAUCGCUCAACGGAUAAAAGGUACUCCGGGGAUAACAGGCUGAUACCGCCCAAGAGUUCAUAUCGACGGCGGUGUUUGGCACCUCGAUGUCGGCUCAUCACAUCCUGGGGCUGAAGUAGGUCCCAAGGGUAUGGCUGUUCGCCAUUUAAAGUGGUACGCGAGCUGGGUUUAGAACGUCGUGAGACAGUUCGGUCCCUAUCUGCCGUGGGCGCUGGAGAACUGAGGGGGGCUGCUCCUAGUACGAGAGGACCGGAGUGGACGCAUCACUGGUGUUCGGGUUGUCAUGCCAAUGGCACUGCCCGGUAGCUAAAUGCGGAAGAGAUAAGUGCUGAAAGCAUCUAAGCACGAAACUUGCCCCGAGAUGAGUUCUCCCUGACUCCUUGAGAGUCCUGAAGGAACGUUGAAGACGACGACGUUGAUAGGCCGGGUGUGUAAGCGCAGCGAUGCGUUGAGCUAACCGGUACUAAUGAACCGUGAGGCUUAACCUU
rnacentral:rRNA from 1 species